ACAUCCAGAGAACUUUCCAGAGAUGGAUUGGUGCCUUCGGGAACUCUGAGACAGGUGCUGCAUGGCUGUCGUCAGCUCGUGUUGUGAAAUGUUGGGUUAAGUCCCGCAACGAGCGCAACCCUUAUCCUUGUUGCCAGCGGUUAGGCCGGGAACUCAAAGGAGACUGCCAGUGAUAAACUGGAGGAAGGUGGGGAUGACGUCAAGUCAUCAUGGCCCUUACGAGUAGGGCUACACACGUGCUACAAUGGCGCAUACAAAGAGAAGCGACCUCGCGAGAGCAAGCGGACCUCAUAAAGUGCGUCGUAGUCCGGAUUGGAGUCUGCAACUCGACUCCACGAAGUCGGAAUCGCUAGUAAUCGUGGAUCAGAAUGCCACGGUGAAUACGUUCCCGGGCCUUGUACACACCGCCCGUCACACCAUGGGAGUGGGUUGCAAAAGAAGUAGGUAGCUUAACCUUCGGGAGGGCGCUUACCACUUUGUGAUUCAUGACUGGGGUGAAGUCGUAACAAGGUAAGCGUAGUGCU
rnacentral:rRNA from 1 species